UUGUUGAUUGAUAAUAAAAUAGAUUUAUUAAAAUUUUAUAUUUUAUAAUUUAAUAAAUAUAUAUUAAAAAUAAUAAAUAAAAAUAAUAAAUUUGAACCGUUUAGAUUUUUACUCAUGGAGUGAUGGUGCUCAUCAGGUGAAGAGCACCAAACCGAACGCGUUUGAGCUUUGAACCUUCCUUUGUCGCCAAGUAGUAAAAUCCAAAUGUGUUAGAUGGGCCCCAUACAACAAUGCCACGUAAGCCUGAGAAUUUUUGUCAUUGCCACGUUCUUCCCCAUGGUGCUGCUUCAUUCUUUGAUCUUCAGGACCACCGAAACCCAUCCCUUUGAAAAUUUGAUGAAAUGGCAAAGGGGCCACAAGAGGCCUAAAUUGAAUAUGCUCCAUCUUCCUUUCAUCAAUUGAUGCAACAUUCUUCUCCAGUACUCUUGCUGGUGAAUGGGAUUUAAAUUGAAGUAUGAAAUCGUUGUUUGGAAUCACAUGUCUGGGAUGCAAUUUAAUACAUUUGUUCGAAUUAAUCCCUUUUUAAUUUAUAAGAUUAUAUUUAA